UACGUAGGGGGCAAGCGUUGUCCGGAAUUAUUGGGCGUAAAGAGCGUGUAGGCGGUCCGGUAAGUCGGCUGUGAAAGUCCAGGGCUCAACCCUGGGAUGCCGGUCGAUACUGCCGGACUAGAGUUCGGAAGAGGCGAGUGGAAUUCCCGGUGUAGCGGUGAAAUGCGCAGAUAUCGGGAGGAACACCUAUGGCGAAGGCAGCUCGCUGGGACGUUACUGACGCUGAGGCGCGAAAGCCAGGGGAGCGAACGGG
rnacentral:rRNA from 1 species